AUCGAACGCUGGCGGCAGGCUUAACACAUGCAAGUCGAGCGGAUGAAGGGUGCUUGCUCCUGGAUUUAGCGGCGGACGGGUGAGUAAUGCCUAGGAAUAUGCCUGGUUGUGGGGGAUAACGUCCGGAGACGGGUGCUGCUACCGCCUACGUCCUGAGGCUGCAAGUGGGGGAUGUUCGGAACUCUUGCUAUCAGAUGAGUCUAGGUCGGAUUGGCUAGCUGGUGGGGUGAGGGCCUACCUAGGCGACGAUUCGUAACUGGUCGGAGUGGAUGGUCAGUCACACUGGAAGUGAGACACCGUCCAUGCUACUACGGGAGGGAGCAGUGUGGAAUAUGAGGCAGUGGGCGAAAGCCUUGUCCAGCCGGGCCGCGUGUGUGGAGAAGGUCUUCGGAGUGGAAAGCACUUUAAGUUGUGAUGAAGGGCAGUAAGUUAAUACCUAGCUGUUUUGACGGUACCAACAGAAUAAGCACCGGCUAACUUCGUG
rnacentral:rRNA from 1 species